rnacentral:tRNA from 1 species
UCCCUAGUGGCUCAGACGGUAAAGCAUCUGCCUGCAAUGCAGGAGACCCGGGUUCAAUUCCUGGGUCAGGAA